UUUGAUUCUCUUGAAUUAAUUAGGGCUAAAUUCAGAUUACAGUAUUCUAACAGAGUUGUCUUUGCAUUUGGAUAGUUUGAAUGAUUUACUUUAUGGGAGUAAAUGUGUUGGUAUGACAGUAUUUUGCAGCGCAAAUGAUCAAAUUGUAUGGAAUUUUGAGCAGGAGAAUGAUAACGUUUUGCAGCUUGGGGGAUCUGGUUUUGACUAUAAUAUGUAUGAUAUCGAAGAUGGUAAAGGCAUAAUAUAUAAUGGGCAGAAAGGUUCGAAAUGUAUAUCUUUUCCUCUUACCAUUUUUAAUUGUGCUCCUUGGGGAGGCUUGGAAGUUCUGACAGAUGAUGAGAAAGUGCUGAUGAAUUAUGUCAUGAAUCCAAAUUUGCCUGCAGAAUUGUGUUUUUGGGAGAUAAAGUGGUUGGGAGGAAGUGUCAUUUCCUGACAUUGGCAGAGAAGCAACUUGUGAGUGCUAAAGUCGUGAACUGCCUCAUUGAUAUAUUAUCAACUAUGGAGGUUGGUGACUAUGGGAAGAAGAGGAAGUUCUGGUGGAUUCUUACAGCAUUAUCGUGACCUGAUCCUACAUCUUAUUCUACUAUUAGUGAAGCAAUGAAAUGGAAAGAAUGGUGUGGAGAAGUUGAACAUUGUUAGAAGCAUAUGUACCUUUGCUGGUGAAGAGACACUGGUUCGUAGUUGUGAUGCAUUUUUCUGCAGAGCAGGUGAGCAGUUGGUUUCUAUGGAACAUGCGUUUGGCGAUGAGUUGCGCAUAGCGUAUGGAGAUGAUUUAUUCUUCACUGAUUUUAACGUAUCAGAACCCACUUGGCAUCGUAACCAAUGUAUUGAUUAUUACUGUAGUGUGUAUGUGAUGAAGAUGCUACUACAAAAAUACGUGGAGGGAGUAUUACGGGGUAGUCGACAUGAUGUGAUAGAAGAUUAUGUCCCUGGUAGAUGUAUACUUUCAGGACCGACUAAUGUACCACGUGAGUUUGAGAGGCAACUUAUUGGUGCACGAAUCUUGAGUUCGGGGUUGAACAAAGCCAGACAUAUUUUACUGAAACGAGCUUCUGAAAUUUGACGCCAUCUUUAUUUCAUAUUUCAAAUACUUAUGUUAUAGUCAAAAUGACUAAAGAAUCCAAUGAUUAUCUAUCUUAUGUACAUGCCCAUUACUGUUUAAUUUGGGUACUUAUUUUUGUUUUGUUUGGAUUGUUUUUUUUUUUUGCUUCAAUGAAAUGGUUGGGUUUGAUUAAUAUUUCUUCUCGCUAAGUAUUGGUAUGUUUAUUUCCACUAGUCUUCUCGCUAAGGUAGAAAGAAGGACUUCAGUUAGAGGAAUGAAGAAGUUUGAUUUUGAUUUAUUAGAUUUUUACUGUUUAAAAUUACACAAGAAAAUAUGUCGACACCUUUCUUAUUUAUCAAUACAUAGCAUACUCUCAUACAAUUGUUAUCCUCAGUAUAAUUAUGGAUAAUAACACGCGAAGCCUAGUUCAUCAAACACAAGUAUGGUUCAUCCAUUAAAUAAGAAUUAAAAUUUAAAGCGGACACAACUAUUAAGGAAUACAGGGUUUGUUUUAACAUUCAGUGUGACCAAGUCUUCCAUUUCAUGAUAAUGGGGAUCUUUUUUUUAUUAUUUAAUUGAAUUUAUUUGGAAUCUCAUACGUUGAG